rnacentral:tRNA from 1 species
CCUGGGGUGGUCCAGUGGCUAGGACUCUGCACUUGCAAGGCAGGGGGUCAGGGCUCAAUCCCUGGUCAAGGA